rnacentral:rRNA from 1 species
GUGAGGAAUAUUGGUCAAUGGGCGAAAGCCUGAACCAGCCAUGUCGCGUGAAGGAUGAAGGUCCUAUGGAUUGUAAACUUCUUUUGCAGGAGGGUAAAGUGAGCUACGUGUAGUUCAUUGCAAGUACCCUGCGAAUAAGCAUCGGCUAACUCCGUGCCAGCAGCCGCGGUAAUACGGAGGAUGCGAGCGUUAUCCGGAUUUAUUGGGUUUAAAGGGUGCGUAGGCGGACUAAUUAGUCAGCGGUGAAAUUUUGCGGCUCAACCGUAAAACUGCCGUUGAAACUGUUAGGCUUGAGUGCGGUAGAGGUAGGCGGAAUGUGUGGUGUAGCGGUGAAAUGCUUAGAUAUCACACAGAACACCGAUUGCGUAGGCAGCUUACUGGAGCGCAACUGACGCUGAGGCACGAAAGCGUGGGGAUCGAACAGGAUUAGAAACCCCAGUAGUCC